AUUAAAUAAAUAAAUGAAUAAAUAAAUAAAUGAAAAAAAGUGAUAGUUUUAGGGCUUAUACAGGGUAGUUUUUGCCCUAAACCAAGAUUCAAAAAAUGAGGCUUUUCCUAAGCAGAGAAUGGGAUUCAGUUGCUACAUGACUGUGAUGAAUGACAAAUAUCCACCCCAAGUACCAUUCAGGAACUAUACUUCCAAAGUCUCAUUUUUAUAAUAACUGGUCCUGUAUUUAUGAAUAAGAAUGUAUACACAGCACAAGCUGGCCAUAGGUCAACAAUGUCAGUGGUUCCAAAACCUAACUAUUCAUCAGAAUGAUUAGAGGAUCUUUGUUCAGGCUCCAGGUAUAGAGAUUCUGAUUCAGGGGGUCUAAAUCAGGGCUUCAGAAUGUGCACUUUUAACAAAUCCCCCAGGUAACUCAAACAUGAUCAGGCUCCAGUCAUUUGGAAACUAGAUUUUUUUUCUUUCUAAAAAAUUUUUAUAUUUUUUAAUAAAUAGAAACGGGGUUUUACUGUGUUGCCCAGGAUGGUCUCCAACUCCUGGGCUCAAGCGACCCACCUGCCUUGGCCUCCCAAAGUGCUAGGAUUACAGUUGUGAGCCACCUCACCCAGUCUGAAAACUACUUGAAACCCUGUCCCUACACUCACAGCCAACAGAAAGCAAAUACUGGCCUAACAUUAGUUUUGCUCCUAAAGUCCAAGAAAUGGCCACAUAAAGAAUCCAUUCUCAUAUUCUAUAAAUUUACUAUAAAAGAUAUCAAAUUCAGGGAAAACUAAUAGGUAAUUAAUAAUUUAAGCUUGUCUAUAUGAUGAAUUUUUGUGUGGAAUUUUAUUUUUAUUU
rnacentral:lncRNA from 10 species